GAGAGUAUAGCUCAGUCGGUAGAGCACCUCCCUUUUAAGGAGGUUGUCCCGGGUCCGAGCCCCGGUGCUCUCA
rnacentral:tRNA from 1 species